GAUGAACGCUGGCGGCGUGCCUAAUACAUGCAAGUCGAGCGAACGGACGAGAAGCUUGCUUCUCUGAUGUUAGCGGCGGACGGGUGAGUAACACGUGGAUAACCUACCUAUAGGACUGGGAUAACUUCGGGAAACCGUAGCUAAUACCGGAUAAUAUUUUGAACCGCAUGGUUCAAAAGUGAAAGACGGUCUUGCUGUCUCUUAUAGAUGGAUCCGCGCUGCAUUAGCUAGUUGGUAAGGUAACGGCUUACCAAGGCAACGAUGCAUAGCCGACCUGAGAGGGUGAUCGGCCACACUGGAACUGAGACACGGUCCAGACUCCUACGGGAGGCAGCAGUAGGGAAUCUUCCGCAAUGGGCGAAAGCCUGACGGAGCAACGCCGCGUGAGUGAUGAAGGUCUUCGGAUCGUAAAACUCUGUUAUUAGGGAAGAACAUAUGUGUAAGUAACUGUGCACAUCUUGACGGUACCUAAUCAGAAAGCCACGGCUAACUACGU
rnacentral:rRNA from 1 species